CGUGCAAUUGCAGGCGUUAAAUAAACGCCUGUAUAUUUACAAGUGCAAUUGCAGGCGUUAAAUAAACGCCACAUGCAAAUCACUGCCCACAAUUUCCCUAGCUCCUCCUGCAGUUAGCUGGGCUAGUGUGAUUGGAUUCUUCCCUGUAUUUUCAAGUACCAGCUCCUCCCCACUGUAGAAGCGGAAGAUUUCGAAACAAGUUUAGUCCAGCACAGUCAGAAGUUUGAAGGAAGAUGGCAAGAAGAAACUUCCUACGACACUGUAAGCAGACUCUUAAUGACUGCACUCGGCUUUUGUUAUCGGAUAACACUGGACACGACGACCUUCAGUCCACGUUGACAAGGCUGGAAACAAUGCAGCGAAGCCUAGAGUGGGCAAAGGGGUACGCUCUUAAAUGUUGCUUCAGCAGACGGCCUGAUAGCUGAAGUGUCCGAGCUCAUGCAGGAAAGUCGCACCCAUGGUCGGCAUGCACAACCAGGUGGGAACCAUUUCAGUGGGGCCAGUUCCGGUUACCAGGCUCCAUUGACUUGGAGUGGAGCUAGAGGUGCUCCUCAUUAUCACAUCACCGGAGAGCAACUGAGGGGUCUGAUGAUAGAUGGCAGAUAUUCUUCACGUGUUCCAUUCUACACUCAAACCACAUCUAAGGUCAGUUGUGCUUGGGGUUGAAUGCUAUGAAAUGCAAAGCUUUUAAAUGCAUGGUUUACACAAUUUUGGCAUGAAUGGGUUGUCAAUAAUCAAGUACUCUAGUGAUACAUUGUCUCAUCUGGGCAUUGUCAAUCUUUCUGUCUUGUCAGGCACUUUUGCAUUAACCUGAGGGCAGCUGCCUUCCCAUCAGAGGCUGCACAGAAGGUACAGUGUUGCUGCUCUGAAUUCUUUAUAACACAUCGAUGGAAACUACAGACUGAAGGUAGAU